rnacentral:rRNA from 1 species
CUACAUGAAGCUGGAGUUACUAGUAAUCGCAGAUCAGAAUGCUGCGGUGAAUGCGUUCCCGGGUCUUGUACACACCGCCCGUCACACCACGGGAGUUGGAGACGCCCGAAGCCGAUUAUCUAACCUUGUGGAAGAAGUCGUCGAAGGUGGAAUCAAUAACUGGGGUGAAGCCGUACCAAGGUAGCCGUAUCGGAAGGUGCGGCUGGAUCA